UAAUUAAUUACACCAAUUGAAAGAUCUUUAUCAUGUUUAUCUGGACUAGCCAUCAGGAACUCUUAAUUAACACAAACAACUAUGAGGCCAUUUCUUUUAGCCCAACUCCCAAGAGAUAAAUUAAGAUAACAGCUGCAUCAGAUCUAGAGAUGCUCUUAGCUCCUGUCAAUAAACUCAUUAAUUUCUCUCUAAUCUGACAUGCAAAUUUCUGCUAUCAAAAUUCUUCUUGACCAGUGCUUGAUAAUUAUGCCCAUGGGACAAACUGAAUUCCUCUCAAAGCAUAAACAUUUGUCACUGAUUGCUGUAAAGUAUAUAAUGAAAAAAUAAAUUUUUUACUUAAUUUAAUAUUUUUUAACAAGGAUACAACUAUAUUUUUACAUUUUUUAGGAUUAUGAAAUUUAGAAUUUAAAAGACCUAGUUUUUUAAAAAAAAAAAAUCACUUUAAUUAAAGGUCACAGUGACCUUGAAAUAAGCUGUGACACAUCUUCUUCUUUAGAUGUAUACUUUUGCCAAGUUUGAAAGCUCUAUAGGUCUAAUAGUUUUCUAGUUAUGAGCCGGACAGAAUUUUUCCAUAUUAGACUAUAGCAUCUCUAUUAAAGGUCAGACCUACUUUUUGUGUGCAACAUACCGUCUACCCAAGAAGUAUCACUGGACAGGAAUGGACAGACGGAUAGACGGACGGACAUGGAGCCUAUAACAUAAUACGUCCCGUCUUAAGACGGGCGUAUAAAAAUUA